rnacentral:rRNA from 1 species
UACGUAGGGUGCAAGCGUUGUCCGGAAUUAUUGGGCGUAAAGAGCUUGUAGGCGGUUUGUCGCGUCUGCUGUGAAAUUUCGGGGCUCAACCCCGAACUUGCAGUGGGUACGGGCAGACUAGAGUGUGGUAGGGGAGACUGGAAUUCCAGGUGUAGCGGUGAAAUGCGUAGAUAUCUGGAGGAACACCGGUGGCGAAGGCGGCAUCCUGGACCGACACUGACGCUGAGGAGCGAAAGCCAGGGGAGCAAAGCGGG